rnacentral:rRNA from 1 species
GUAGGUGGCAAGCGUUAUCCGGAUUUAUUGGGUGUAAAGGGAGCGCAGGCGGCGUGGCAAGUCAGAUGUGAAAACCCGGGGCCCAACCCCGGGAGUGCAUUUGAAACUGCCAUGCUGGAGUGCCGGAGAGGUAAGCGGAAUUCCUAGUGUAGCGGUGAAAUGCGUAGAUAUUAGGAGGAACACCAGUGGCGGAGGCGGCUUACUGGACGGUAACUGACGCUGAGGCUCGAAAGCGUGGGGAGCAAAC